rnacentral:rRNA from 1 species
UACGAAGGGGGCGAGCGUUGUUCGGAUUUACUGGGCGUAAAGGGCGCGUAGGCGGCCUUCCAAGUCGAGUGUGAAAGCCCCGGGCUCAACCUGGGAGGUGCGCUCGAGACUGGCAGGCUGGAGUUCGGGAGAGGAGCGUGGAAUUCCCAGUGUAGAGGUGAAAUUCGUAGAUAUUGGGAAGAACACCAGUGGCGAAGGCGGCCCACUGGAUCGGUACUGACGCUGAGGUGCGAAAGCGUGGGGAGCAAACAGG